rnacentral:rRNA from 1 species
UACAGAGGUCUCAAGCGUUGUCCGGAAUCAUUGGGCGUAAAGCGCGUGUAGGCGGUUCAGUAAGUCUGCUGUGAAAGUCCAGGGCUCAACCCUGGGAUGCCGGUGGAUACUGCUGGACUAGAGUGCGGAAGAGGCGAGUGGAAUUCCCGGUGUAGCGGUGAAAUGCGCAGAUAUCGGGAGGAACACCAAUUGCGAAGGCAGCUCGCUGGGACGUUACUGACGCUGAGACGCGAAAGCGUGGGGAGCAAACAGG